rnacentral:ncRNA from 1 species
CGAUAGAGGUUGCGGUAUUCAUCAGUAACAAUUGCAUAUUCUCGGGAAGGAAGCAAUUGCGAAAGGGAAAACCGCCGAAGAUUAGAUAUUUCCCGAUAUUUAUUCUGGGGCGUAGUAAUAAGAUGCUGCGUACUGUCACAUUUAUGUGGAGCGCUAUCA